ensembl:Y_RNA Y_RNA Y RNA
GGGUGGCCUGAAUGCAGUGGUGUUUACAACUAAUUAAUCACAACCAGUUACAGAUUUCUUUGCUCCUUCUCCAUUCCCACUACUUCACUUGACUAGCCUAAA